GUUGAACGCUGGCGGCACGCCAAACACAUGCAAGUCGAGCGGCAGCGAGACUAGUAGCAAUACUAGUUGUCGGCGAGCGGCGGACGGGUGAGUAACACGUAGGAAUCUGCCCUUAAGCGGGGGAUAACCAAGGGAAACUUUGGCUAAUACCGCAUAAUCUCGAGAGAGCAAAGCUGCCCGCAAGGGUGGCACUUGAGGAGGAGCCUGCGUCCGAUUAGCUAGUUGGUGGGGUAAUGGCCUACCAAGGCGAUGAUCGGUAACUGGUCUGAGAGGACGACCAGUCACACUGGGACUGAGACACGGCCCAGACUCCUACGGGAGGCAGCAGUGGGGAAUAUUGGACAAUGGGGGGAACCCUGAUCCAGCCAUGCCGCGUGUGUGAAGAAGGCUUUUUGGUUGUAAAGCACUUUAAGCGAGGAGGAGGCUUACCUAGUUAAUACCUGGGAUAAGUGGACGUUACUCGCAGAAUAAGCACCGGCUAACUCUGUGCCAGCAGCCGCCGUAACAC
rnacentral:rRNA from 1 species